rnacentral:rRNA from 1 species
GCUACGUAGGCGGCCAACUAAGUCAUACGUGAAAUCCCUCGGCUUAACCGGGGAACUGCGUCUGAUACUGGAUGGCUUGAGUUCGGGAGAGGGAUGCGGAAUUCCAGGUGUAGCGGUGAAAUGCGUAGAUAUCUGGAGGAACACCGGUGGCGAAGGCGGCAUCCUGGACCGAUACUGACGCUGAGGAGCGAAAGCCAGGGGAGCAAACG